rnacentral:rRNA from 1 species
CAGCCGCCGCGGUAAUACGAAGGGUGCAAGCGUUACUCGGAAUUACUGGGCGUAAAGCGUGCGUAGGUGGUGGUUUAAGUCCGUUGUGAAAGCCCUGGGCUCAACCUGGGAAUUGCAGUGGAUACUGGGUCACUAGAGUGUGGUAGAGGAUAGUGGAAUUUCCGGUGUAGCAGUGAAAUGCGUAGAGAUCGGAAGGAACAUCUGUGGCGAAGGCGACUAUCUGGGCCAACACUGACACUGAGGCACGAAAGCGUGGGGAGCAAACAGGAUUAGAUACCCCCGUAGUCCCUGUCUCUUAUAC